rnacentral:rRNA from 1 species
CCUACGGGAGGCAGCAGUAGGGAAUCUUCCGCAAUGGACGCAAGUCUGACGGAGCAACGCCGCGUGAGUGACGAAGGUUUUCGGAUCGUAAAACUCUGUUGUGAGGGAAGAACACGUACCAGCUAACUACUGGUACCUUGACGGUACCUCACCAGAAAGCCACGGCUAACUACGUGCCAGCAGCCGCGGUAAUACGUAGGUGGCAAGCGUUGUCCGGAAUUAUUGGGCGUAAAGCGCGCGCAGGCGGUCCUUUAAGUCUGAUGUGAAAGCCCACGGCUCAACCGUGGAGGGUCAUUGGAAACUGGAGGACUUGAGUGCAGAAGAGGAAAGUGGAAUUCCAUGUGUAGCGGUGAAAUGCGUAGAGAUGUGGAGGAACACCAGUGGCGAAGGCGACUUUCUGGUCUGUAACUGACGCUGAGGCGCGAAAGCGUGGGGAGCAAACAGGAUUAGAUACCCUGGUAGUCCACGCCGUAAACGAUGAGUGCUAAGUGUUAGGGGGUUUCCGCCCCUUAGUGCUGCAGCUAACGCAUUAAGCACUCCGCCUGGGGAGUACGGCCGCAAGGCUGAAACUCAAAUGAAUUGACGGGG